rnacentral:rRNA from 1 species
CCUACGGGCGGCAGCAGUGGGGAAUAUUGCGCAAUGGGCGAAAGCCUGACGCAGCGACGCCGCGUGAGGGAUGAAGGCCUUCGGGUUGUAAACCUCUUUCAGCAGGGACGAAGCGAAAGUGACGGUACCUGCAGAAGAAGCACCGGCCAACUACGUGCCAGCAGCCGCGGUAAUACGUAGGGUGCAAGCGUUGUCCGGAAUUAUUGGGCGUAAAGAGCUCGUAGGCGGUCUGUCGCGUCGGCUGCGAAAACCCGGGGCUCACCCCGAGCCUGCAGUCGAUACGGGCAGACUAGAGUGCUGUAGGGGAGACUGGAAUUCCUGGUGUAGCGGUGAAAUGCGCAGAUAUCAGGAGGAACACCGGUGGCGAAGGCGGGUCUCUGGGCAGUAACUGACGCUGAGGAGCGAAAGCGUGGGGAGCGAACAGGAUUAGAUACCCGUGUAGUC